rnacentral:misc_RNA from 1 species
UACGAAGGGUGCAAGCGUUGUUCGGAUUUAUUGGGCGUAAAGCGCGCGCAGGCGGAAUCAUAAGUCAGGUGUGAAAUCUCGGGACUCAACCCCGAAACUGCGCCUGAAACUGUAGUUCUAGAGUUCUGGAGGGGGAAGGGGAAUUUCUCGUGUAGGGGUAAAAUCCGUAGAGAUGAGAAGGAACACCAGAGGCGAAGGCGCCUUCCUGGACAGACACUGACGCUGAGGCGCGAAAGCGUGGGGAGCAAACAGG